AGUUUUGGUGCUGUGUCUCGGACAGCAGUGGAAUCCGCACCUUUGGAACCCUGUUCACUCCACCCAGAGUCUCACUCUGUCACCAGGCUGGAGUGAAAUGGGGCGAUCUCAGUUCACUGCAGCCUCCGCCUCCCGGUUCAAACGAUUCUUCUACCUCAGCCUCCAGAGUAGCUGGGAUUACAGGAGCCCGCUACCACGCCAGGCUAAUAUUUGUAUUUUUAGUAGAGACGGGUUUUCACCAAGUUGGCCAGGAUGGUCUUGAACUCCUGACCUUGUGAUUCGCCUGCCUUGGCCUCCCAAAGAGCUGGUAUUAUAGGCAUGAGCCACAGCACCCAGCCUACUUUAACUUUUUUCUUUAACCAAACCUGUGACCCAGUUAGGUUAAAUAAAGAAGACUUACACUAUAUUGUUUUCCUCACAAAAACAAGAUCAUGCUAUUCAUAUUGUUUCGUAAUUUUUUUCCAUUUACUAUAUUCUGAACAACUCCCUGUGACAAUAAGUAUGUCUAUAAUAUAGUUUGAGAUGCUAUGGUAUUUCAUUAUGUGACUGCAUCAUAAUUUUUUUAGCUAUUUGUCAUGGUCAGAUACUUAUAGGAUUUGAAGUUGUCACUCCAGUGCUCAUCCUUAUAGACACAUAAUUGCACACAUCUUUAAUAAUUUUCUUAGGAUAAAUUUCCUAGAGGCAAAUUUCUGUGUUAAAGGCAGACACAUUUUUAAUGCCUUUGAUAUUUAUGACCAAAUUAUCCUCCGGUAGGGAGAAUUGUCACAGUCUUUUUGCAGUGACUAUUUCCAAAAUUCUUUGAAUAUUUCUGAAAAAAUUUGAUAAUGAGACAGCAGAGUAUGCUGUUAAAGAUUAUGUGCACAUAGAGGGGGGCUGAAUUCAGGCCACUGGAAGGACAGAAUGAAACAAUAAAACCGCGUGGCCUCUAAUACAUACGCAGCAAGUAACCAUCAUCUUUCAACCAACAAGCUGGUGAAAAGCUUGUUUUUGCCAGUUAAAGCCUUUAUUUUGAGUGAUAAAUAAAAAGGAACAGAAUCUCUGA